GCACUGCUGAUGAGUCCCAAAAAGGAGGAAACAGCUGUCCAGUGC
rnacentral:hammerhead_ribozyme from 1 species